UAAAAUGAGCGAAAAAAGAAAAAGUGGCACAUCCCUUCAACGAGAAAAAAAUAAAAAGUUAUUAGUAGCAAUUGAUUUCUCUUGUCAUAUUAUGGCUAGUAUGUUUAAAAAAAUCGAAAACAAUCUGAUGAAAAGUGUUUAAUCUGAUAUUAUUGAAAGCAAAAACGAAUCAAAUGAUAAUGUUUAUUAUGUAGUUAAGUAACAUAAAAUCAAUCAACAUGACUGUAGAUAUAAUUAUUUCAAAUUAUGCGGGUCAUAGUUCAUUUUUUAAAUGAAGAUUGCAUAUUAACUGUGCCAGAAACAUGGUACCAAAGGAAGGGAAAUGCACGAGCAUGAAGAAAAAAGAUUAUCCUACCAAAAAAGAAUACAAGUGGUUACCUGCAAGAGUUCUAGGCCGAAAAUAUGCAACUUUUAAAGAGGCUCGUGCUAAAUCAAAAAUGGCACAACUUUUAAGCGAUUUAUCAGAAAUGAUACUAGUACAUAUAGAUCAAAUAAAAAUGAAUUAAAAAGAAAAAUGGAGAGUCCUCCUUUUCUAAAGCCUAAUAGAAAAAUAAAGAAGAAUUGUAAAAAAGAGGCCAUUAAUGUUAUUGAAUAGUCAGACUUUGAAGACUAUAAUUCUGACAAAGACCCAAAGUAUCGCCAACCAUUAGUACAUUUAAUAGCUUCACCAGGAUCUUGCAAAGUGAUGCACAAGUUAAUGGGAAUAGUAAUUAAAUUUUGAAGUCCCCUAUUGGAAAAAAUUUUAAUUGAAACUGCAGAUGAUUACAAUUUUAAUAAUAAAUUGCCAACACUAUUAUCAUCUGAAAGUACUCCAUCAUUAUUUACUUCUGAAAAAAAAGUUUUAUUGACAGCUUUUGAACAUUGUGCCGAAUCUCAAAGAUCAAUAGUACCUCAGUUAUUUAAAUGUAGUCCAAAUAAUGAUUAUGAUUGUCGCAUAACUGAUACAGGAAAUAUAAAAAAAAGUAAACUAGGAGAGAAGGAAGCAAAUACUCAGUCAUGAAGGACAAGGACAAAUUUUCGGUUUGGUAUGUCAAGCUAAGGGCUCCCUUCAAGAAUAGUAAUUUUCUUGAUUUGAAAAUAAUCACUAUGUAA